rnacentral:rRNA from 1 species
CCCGUCGCUACUACCGAUUGAAUGUCUUAGUGAGGUCUUCGGAUUGGCUCGUUGCUGCGGCUCGUCCGCGGGCAGCAGGCCGAGAAGUUGAUCAAACUUGGGCAUUUAGAGGAAGUAAAAGUCGUAACAAGGUUUCCGUAGGUGAACCUGCGGAAGGAUCAUCAACAAAAGGGAAAAAUGCGUGGCGGGCGCAAGUCCGUUUCACGUUCAUUCCCGAAAAUCCUGUAUUCACCCCAAGUUCCUUAAAAAUUUUAAUAAAAAACUCUGCAAAAGACCACCUAUGAUCGGGUGGCAUCUAAUGCAAAAGCGAAAACUUUCAACAACGGAUCUCUUGGCUCUCGCAUCGAUGAAGAACGCAGCGAAAUGCGAUAAGUAGUGUGAAUUGCAGACUAGAGUGAAUCAUCGAAUUUUUGAACGCAUAUUGCGCUCUCUGGUAAUUCCGGGGAGCAUGCUUGGCUGAGGGCCUGUAAAACAAAUCUCCGGANGGGGCAACCUUCUGGUGGUCGAUGGGUGUCAAUCCNAUGAAUCUCUUGUGGGAACGAAUCGGUCACCUGAAAUAAUUGGCUCCGCUGGAUCGCGGGAUCGUGCAGUAAAGNNAUAAUGGAAGAGCGGUAACACGCCCUUNNAGUGAAGCGGGAAGAGCUCAAAUUUUAAAUCAGUGCGCCAUCCNGGCGCAUCGAGUUGUAGUUUGAAGAGGCGUCUUCGCGUUCGUAACCGGCACAAGUCCUCUGGUACGAGGCGUCGUAGAGGGUGACAACCCCGUCCACGGCCGGUGCANNGGAUGCGUACGAUACGACCUCUAAGAGUCGAGUAGUUUGGGAUUGCUGCUCUAAACGGGUGGUAGACUCCAUCUAAGGCUAAAUAAAGGCGAGAGACCGAUAGCGAACAAGUACCGUGAGGGAAAGAUGAAAAGAACUCUGGAGAGAGAGUUAAAAGUACGUGAAAUUGUUGAAAGGGAAACGCUUGAAGCCAGUCGUGUCGGUGGAAUAUCAACGGUGUGCGGGUGGAGGCCUUGCGUGCGGCAGGGUAAAACCGUCCGCGUGGAGUUCGAAGUUCGUUCGCCGUGCACUAUUCCGCAUGGCAGGCCAGCGUCGGUUUCGGACGUCGUAAAACGGCCGGGGAAAGGCGGCCCCCGCGGGGGUGUUUACAGACCCUGGUCAAUGCGGCGUGCGGAACCGAGGAAUGCGGCGGCGACCCUUCUGGGCUUGGACCUUUCCUUUGUGUGGCGGCGCGUGCGUUCCGAGCUUGCUCGGGCGUGGGUGACCGUUCGCUCAAUCAGGGGAGCGAUCCGUACUCACCGCCAAGGACGCUGGCGUAAUGGCUUCAAACGACCCGUCUUGAAACACGGACCAAGGAGUCUAACAUGUGUGCGAGUGUA